GUGCCCAAGGUUCUGUGGGUUCUGGGGAUCCAAACAUAUAGGUCCUGGUAUUCCUGCAACGAACACUUUGCUCACUAAGACAACUCCCCAGCCCAAAUCUGAACUUGAAGACGGGGAAGAAAACUCAGAGGCAAGCCAGGACCGAAAGAGGGACCAAAUGUGAUAAUAAACACUCCAGCAGCCAUGGAGGCUCACACCUAUAAUCCCGGCAUUCAGGAGGCUGAGGCUGGAGGAUCGCCAUGAGUUCAAGGCCAAUCUGGGCUAUAGGGUCCUCAAUCAAACGUGAGACAAGGGGCCCUGGCUCCUUCGUUAAGGGAAAGCAAGAGUGGCCCUAAUGAGUCACUCUACACCAAAAGUUGUCAAAUCCAUCAUCCCUGUUCUAUUUUCUGAAAGUGAUUAAAUACCACUUUCUCCGC